GAUGAACGCUAGCGAUAGGCUUAACACAUGCAAGUCGAGGGGCAGCAUGGUCUUAGCUUGCUAAGACUGAUGGCGACCGGCGCACGGGUGCGUAACGCGUAUGCAACUUGCCUCACAGAGGGGGAUAACCCGUCGAAAGACGGACUAAUACCGCGUACACUUGGGAUAGGGCAUCCUGACCCAAGGAAAUGAAAUUCGCUGUGAGAUAGGUAUGCGUCCCAUUAGCUAGUUGGUGAGGUAACGGCUCACCAAGGCGACGAUGGGUAGGGGAACUGAGAGGUUGAACCCCCACACUGGUACUGAGACACGGACCAGACUCCUACGGGAGGCAGCAGUGAGGAAUAUUGGUCAAUGGGCGAGAGCCUGAACCAGCCAAGUCGCGUGAAGGAUGACUGUCUUAUGGAUUGUAAACUUCUUUUAUACGGGAAUAACAAGAGCCACGUGUGGCUCCCUGCAUGUACCGUAUGAAUAAGCAUCGGCUAACUCCGUG
rnacentral:rRNA from 1 species